ACGUAGGGGGCGAGCGUUGUCCGGAAUUACUGGGCGUAAAGGGUGCGUAGGCGGCGAGGGAAGACCAGAGGGAAAAGCCCGGGCUUAACCUGGGAGGUGCAGUGGAAACUGCAUGGCUUGAGUGCAGGAGAGGAAAGCGGAAUUCCUAGUGUGGCGGUGAAAUGCGUAGAUAUUAGGAGGAACACCAGUGGCGAAGGCGGCUUUCUGGACUGUAACUGACGCUGAGGCACGAAAGCGUGGGGAGCAAACAG
rnacentral:rRNA from 1 species